UUGCAAAGCUGAAGGCAGGUAAAACCAAAUAACAGCACCUACACCCCAUCUCCACUCUACAUGUGUUGCACCUGUGUUUCUCAGUCCCUGUGUAGGAGGCAGUCAAAGUGGCAGAGGUGUGUCCACAUGAUGAGCCACACCUGAUUUAGCUCCUCUUGGCUGCUGGAAGAGGGCUGGAUAUUUCAGGGUGUUUGGUGUGUUUGCAUUCAUUUAGAUUUGUUUUUCACUUUCUCAUAUUUUGUUUGCACCGCGUUUACUCACAUGCAUGUGCUUGCCGCACCACUGUGCCGAACAGCCAUUGAGAGUGGACGUAAGAAGAAUAAACGUGUGCUGCCUCAUUAGCUGAAUUUCUGCAUUGAAAAGAGCUGUCAAUCAUUUGAACACGCCUGACAGCGUAUGCAGUGGAUCAACUGGGUUCACGUAAUCACCUCACCAUUAAUGGGUGUUAGCUUCCAGUUACGUCGAACUGUGGCAUCACUACGCAGGGAGAAGUUGAGUCGUCCUCCAUGCUGUGGCCCGUCACUGUCUCGUGAGGCCAGCACCAGAGCUUGGUCCUCCCAGCGAGGCGUACACAGGUACUUCCAGGAAUAGUCUCCAACCAGCACUGGACUGUUGUCAUUGACAUCCAGUAUUUGGACUGUCACCAAGGUGGACGCGGAUAAGGAGGAGUUUCCUAAGAGGAACACAAGAAACAAAUACACUAGGAGAUGAAAUGUUGCAGCUUCGUUGCUUCAUUCUGCUCAUAAAACCUUCUUUACUGGUGGUUUUCUGUCCCCUUGCAUACUGCUUUCUCUCCAUUCAUCCUGUUAGCUCUUUGCCUCUUCUUCCACAUCUGUAUUCAUAACACUCUGUUUAUCACAUGUAUGGACUCACAGCUUGUGUACACCUUUUUCCUGUGUUCUGUUAAUUAUCAGCAGGAUGUGCAAAGCAAUCUAUGAGAUGGAAAGCAAAACAAAUUGGCUCUGAUGACCUCACAUUUA